rnacentral:misc_RNA from 1 species
GUAGGUGAACCUGCGGAAGGAUCAUUAGCACGUCUUAUAUUAUCCAAUAUAUAAACCAACGCGAACUAAACCCCCGGCCCUAUCAUCUCUAAGCUGGUUUGCCUGAUCACAUUUCGGGGUCUGACUUAACGGUCAUUCUACUGUCAUGUUCUCGUCAAAUUGGUUGAUGUUAGGCUAUUUUUCAAUUAUUAUAAACCAUUAUAACCAGAAUUGAUCUAAAUACUAAGGCAUUCUAGUCUUCAUUCAGUGG